CCUACGGGUGGCAGCAGUAGGGAAUUUUGCGCAAUGGGCGAAAGCCUGACGCAGCAACGCCGCGUGAUCGAGACGCCCUUCGGGGUGUAAAGAUCUGUCAGUGGGGACGAAACUUGACGGUACCCACAGAGGAAGCACCGGCUAACUCCGUGCCAGCAGCCGCGGUAAUACGGGGGGUGCAAGCGUUGUCCGGAAUCAUUGGGCGUAAAGAGUUCGUAGGCGGCACGUAAAGUCUGGUGUUAAAGGCAGAGGCUCAACUUCUGUACGGCACUGGAUACUUGCGAGCUAGAAUGCGGUAGAGGUAAAGGGAAUUCCUGGUGUAGCAGUGAAAUGCGUAGAUAUCGAGAGGAACACUCGUGGCGAAGGCGGGUUCCUGGACAUUAACUGACGCUGAGGCACGAAGGCCAGGGGAGCGAAAGGGAUUAGAUACCCUUGUAGUC
rnacentral:rRNA from 1 species